GACGAACGCUGGCGGCGUGCCUAAUACAUGCAAGUAGAACGCAGUGGCGAACGGGUGAGUAACGCGUAGGUAAGUGCUGGGUAGCGGGGGAUAACUAUUGGAAACGAUAGCUAAUACUGCAUACUACCAGAUGGACCUGCGUUGUAUUAGCUAGUUGGUGGGGUAACGGCUCACCAGGGCAACGGUACAUAGCCGACCUGGGUGGGUGGUCGGCCACACUGGGACUGAGACACGGGCCAGACUCCUACGGGAGGCAGCCGUAGGGGAACUUCGGCAAUGGACGGAAGUCUGAACAAGCAACGCCGCGUGAGUGAAAGAGGUUUUCGGAUCGUAAAGCUCUGUUGUAAGGGAAGCGGUAUCUUACCAGAAAGGAACGGCUAACUACGUGCCAGCAGCCGCGGUAAUAC
rnacentral:rRNA from 1 species